rnacentral:rRNA from 1 species
UACAGAGGGUGCGAGCGUUGUUCGGAAUUAUUGGGCGUAAAGGGCGCGUAGGCGGUGCCACAAGUCACUUGUGAAAUCUCCGGGCUUAACUCGGAGCCUGCAGGCGAAACUGUGGUGCUGGAGUAUGGGAGAGGUGCGUGGAAUUUCCGGUGUAGCGGUGAAAUACGUAGAUAUCGGGAGGAACACCUGUGGCGAAAGCGGCGCACUGGACCAUAACUGACGCUGGAGGCGCGAAAGCUAGGGGAGCAAACAGG